UUGAAAUUAGAUAUUUAAUCUUAGCCUAUUGUUUCUGAAAUAGUUAGUCGUAAAUGAAAUAGGAGCAAUAUACAUGAAAAAGUAGGGAUCUAAAAUUUCCCAAUCUUUUUUGCUUGAAUGUGCUUCUUCUUAGUCCCUACUUCGUCCUAAAUAAUACAUAUAGCCUUCCUUUAACGGUAACAUCGCUGUCAUAUGGACUCCAACUGCGUAUUUCACGAUAAAGUUGAACCCAAAAAUUUUGAGAAGUCGAAAAAGCCAAUUUACCUUGUCAAUUUGGGGCCAAAAGAAAAAAACCUCCACUUAUUCGAGACACGGGCAACACAAUUGUAUCAAAAUCUAUCACAAGUUCGAUAGCUAAUAAUCCAAUUAUCCAGAUAACAAGCCAGAGGACACAGGGUUCCGACCACAAAGUACGAAGAAACAUUCUGAACCAAACUAUUAGAACUCCAACAGAAUCAAAAACUGAAUCGAUCAGGAAGUAAUAUUCUUUUCUAGCCUCUCAAUUAGAAAAAAGCUUUGGUCUUUCAUUUUGCUCCUUUAUGGCAACCCUCAGAAGUAGAGCCUGUAUUUUAGGAAAAGAGUACAGCACCUUUCAUGUUUAAAUGAACUCUUAAAGAGAGGCUUUCAGCCAAUAAACCAGAGGUAAAUUUGACUUCUGUUAUCAUAGAAAUACUUCAUUACAUAUACUCCUCUGCUAGCAAACGAGUCUAAAUUCCACAUGCAAACAAUUAAAAAGGAAUUUGUACAGAUAGUUCUUACAAUGCACAGCCUGUGUCUCUUGCCCACCCAGACUGUAAGGUGCUCGAGCCAACCAGCCCUCAUGGGCUUUCC
rnacentral:lncRNA from 1 species